UACGGAGGAUCCGAGCGUUAUCCGGAUUUAUUGGGUUUAAAGGGUGCGUAGGCGGCUUAGUAAGUCAGCGGUGAAAUUUUGCAGCUUAACUGUAACAGUGCCGUUGAUACUGCCAGGCUAGGAUUUGGUUGCUGUGGGUGGAAUGUGUGGUGUAGCGGUGAAAUGCUUAGAUAUCACACAGAAUAUCGAUUGCGUAGGCAGCUCACAAAGCCAAGAUUGACGCUGAGGCACGAAAGUGUGGGGAUCAAACAGGA
rnacentral:rRNA from 1 species